CUUAAGUGAGAGCUGAAGGACGGCAAACGCCUUUUCACCGAUCCUUUCAUGAUACUGUCAAAUGAUACCAUUGGUCCAUGGAGGAUUUCAAAGAUGACUCAACUACAGAGGAAACCUACGUGAGUUUAUUCUUAUGAAUAAAUUUGUAAAAACUGGAGAAGACUUGUAACCGAGGAAGCCUUUGGCAAAAAAGGAUUCAAGUUGUCUUUAAAGCACGAUUGAACAAUGAAUCGGAGUGUGGUGAAUCAAUGUGCCUUGUCCCUGGAAAACGAGUGGGCCUAAUUGUAAAAAUUGAACUUUGAGCUGCUGAUGAAAUAUUGAAAAAAGAGUCGAAAGAAGAAAACUCUGGCUAAAAGGAUUUCUAGGAUCAAUAAGAGGCUGCAGAAGACACUGAUAAUCCAUAUUAUGGUGCUGGAGUACUCUAAGGACUAUGUGACGAGAUUAUACGUUACCUGAUUGAUGUACUCUGUGACAAUGUGUCCGAUUUCAAGAAUUACGACUUUGAUGCUGAUCCUACAUUUGUAGCUGCACACUUGCAAGAACCAGAGUACAAAGAAGAUGAAUCUGUGGUAGAAGAAACUCUACAGCUACCGUCCUGCACACCCAGAUCCAGAUAGAAGAAAUCCCAGGCCAAGUAGAUUUGUUUGGAAGCACAAGGAAUCCUUUAAACUUUUACCAACAGCAGCUGAUUAUUUCCCGAACGAAAAUGUAAUUACAGGUAAUCCCUUUGACCAUUAUAAAAGUUACAUAUCUGAGUUCUUUUCUGAUGUAAUAAAUACAGCGAGUAACCAAAACUACCAGUAAAAAGGGAAAAGAAUAACGAAAUCUCUUGAAGAAAUAAGAAAGAUUUUUGGUAUUAUUAUAGAUAUAAACUAAAAUUUCCAAGAAGGCGAAUGUACUGGGCAAGUGCAACAAGAACAUAUGCUCUGGUAAACCACGAGUAGGGAAAUGUACUUGCUCCUGAGAACGGACCUCAAACUGGUUGUCGAUCCUUUAAUUGCUGAUGAGACUAGGAAAAGUAAUAAAUAUUGGAAGUGUAACGUUAAUUGACAAUAUCAGACAAGCUUGUCUUGCCGACCUUAGACCCUCUAAAUUUUCGAUUGGUGAGCAGAUGAUUCCCUUCUGGAGUAGUAGUCCUUCCCGCCAGGUAUUACGAUCAAAACCGAAUCCAUGUUGUUUGAAAAAUGUUUUUUCCACCAGCUCUGAUGGGCUCCCUUUAGAUUUUUGCUCUAUGAAGAGGCUGGUAAAUGUAUUAAAGAUGAGCCUGCAAAUACAAAUUUGAAUAUAGCAGGCAAGGUUGUAAUGCAAUUAGCUGAAACUCACAAUGCAGGCACCAGUUUGUAAAUAUAUCAUUACUUUACUUCUGUUUACCUACUUGAUUUGCUCCAUUCUGAAAGAUUAAUGCAAGCCAUUAGAACUUUGGAUUGUAGGAGGGUACGAAAAGGAAAUAACAUUUAAGUUAGAUACUGAAUUGUUGAGAGCAGUUUGGAGAUCUAGGGAUCAAGUUUUAAAAGAUAAUGAGUAUUUGUGGUAAAAUGUAUGACAACGACCAGUAAUACUUGCUUCUUCAAAUGAAGGCGUUUUUCCACCUCUUAUUUGUCACAGAUAGGACUAAAAAAAACAAAGUCUAUAUUGAUGUUAGCCUUCCAUCUUCCAUCAUAAGUUAUACCGUCAAUAUGAAUCUAUAUACCGUUGGAGGAAUCGAUCUAUUAGAUCGCAUGAUCGGCUUUUACAGCAUUUCCAGGAAACUACAAAGUGGAUUAUCCAAGUCAUUUUCCAUUUAUUUGAUUUUGCAUUAGUAGCAGCUUGGAUUUAUUACAGAAAGCAACAACAGCAACAAACCACUCUUAGACAUAAUCAGCUUGAUUCAUCCUAGUUUUCUAGAGGACUAUCUGAACAUUUGCUGUGUUCUUCAACUAUAAGAAAGAAACUCGGGUGUCCACGAGCUGGAGGGGAUCAACAAGACAAUGACAAUGAAAGACCAAAGAAGAAGAAGCGCACAUUUCCUCAUCCCCCGCCAGACAUUAAGACAACAAUGGCUCUCCACUUACCCACAAUACCUGAUGCAGACAAAUGCUAUCGCUGCAGGAUGCGUGGUUGUAACAGUAACCGAGCUCACUUUCAGCGCACUCACUACUUGUAAAAUGCAGCUUUGUAUUACUAAAGAUCCAACUGUUUCAAAACAUUAAAUGAAAUGUACUUUAUGUUUUUUUUAUGAAGAAUUAUUGUCCUAUUUUACAAACUAAACCUUUGUAUCCCAAUGCAUUGCUGUAAAUAUUUCAUAUCUAAUGAUCCAAUGUUGCAUAUAUGCUACAUCAGUUAAUUUAGUUAAAUGGUAUAAAUAAAAAUUUUGAAAAACUUGUUACCAACAAAAAUAUUUUGAAUCAAUAUAACAGUGAUUUUAAAAUAUUUUCACUCAUUGUUGUAUUGGCCUGAGGAGGUAAUGCAGUAUUAUUUACUCCAACUGAUGUUAAUGUUGGGAUCUAGGCAGACAAUUCUUUUAUGCAUAUCCUUGUAUCUGUGUAUAGGUACGAAUGCUGUAAUAUUAUUUUCUCGAGAUAUUUUAUGACAUUAUAUUUGAUUGAAUGAGAACAUGGGAGUAUCUGGAAUUAUGAAAUGAGAAGGGAGGGUUAACACUACCCUAGGAUUUGGUGACAUUCCGUACCUCCCAGUCAAGCUGGGGGUCUGGAGCACCUCCCCUGAAAAAUUAUUGAAAGCUUAUAUUCAAGACGAGAAUUUUGAAGUUUCCUGAAAGUAUACUACUCACUUCUGUUAUGGUUUAUAAAACGGUUAUAACUUGGGUGAAAAUUUAACCUUUUGGAGGCCACCCGAUAACACGAAAAGUAAUUCUCUGUUUGAAGUUUGUUUUUGACGAUGGAAGUAUU